rnacentral:rRNA from 1 species
CAGCCGCCGCGGUAAUACGUAGGUGGCAAGCGUUAUCCGGAAUGAUUGGGCGUAAAGCGUCUGUAGGUGGCUUUUCAAGUCCGCCGUCAAAUCCCAGGGCUCAACCCUGGACAGGCGGUGGAAACUACAAAGCUAGAGUGCGGCAGAGGGGGAUGGAAUUCCGCGUGUAGCAGUGAAAUGCGUAGAUAUGCGGAGGAACACCGAUGGCGAAGGCAAUCCCCUGGGCCUGCACUGACGCUCAUGCACGAAAGCGUAGGGAGCAAAUGGGAUUAGAUACCCGCGUAGUCCCUGUCUCUUAUAC